rnacentral:rRNA from 1 species
CUCGUAGGCGGUUCAACAAGUCGGUCGUGAAAGCCCGGGGCUCAACCCCGGGACGCCGGUCGAAACUGUUGUGACUAGGGUCCGGUAGAGGUGAGUGGAAUUCUCGGUGUAGCGGUGGAAUGCGCAGAUAUCGAGAGGAACACCAGUAGCGAAGGCGACUCACUGGGCCGGUACCGACGCUGAGGAGCGAAAGCAUGGGGAGCAAACA